UUAAAUCCAAGGGCGUAUGUCUCGGCUUUUCUUCAUUUUCAGUGCUUGUAAACCAGCCAAUACUCCUACGUAUCUCUCGUUUUUUAAGCCAAUCUUAAUCCCAAGAUAAAGAUGUACUUAUGAACCUCCAUUUUCAUUCACCAGAGAAAGUCUUCGAUUUUUCAUUGAAAUCAAAUCUACCCAUUGAUUUCAGAUACUCAUACUCUUAGACUAACUCUUCGAUUGAACCCAUUGGGUACCGUGAACCACCGAGAUUCUCUCCCUUUGGACCUGGACAGUUCGACCGGAAAUGGACCGGCACUUAUGCUCUGGCCGAAGAAGCAGUUGAUUUGUUAUAGGUAGAAGAACAACGACGCGAGGUUCUUGGUGGACCACUCUCCAAAGAAGUCGCUGCGCUUGUGGAGUGGUUUCGUCAUAACGAUUGUUCUCAACAGAUUAAUUUGGGGAUAUGAUAUAAUUGAUGUUUUGCCAUGGGAUGAGUGGUGGAACUUUGAGCUCACUAAAGAUGAGUCCAAUCCACAUAUUUCACUUCUUCCUUUGCAUCCUGACGUCCGGGCCAUGUUUAAUGAGACUGCUGCUUGGGAGUAUGCUUUUAGCAUGGUGGGCAAGCCCUAUGGUUAUCAUCACCUGAUAUUUAGCUGGAUUGACACUAUUGAUGGGAACUAUCCGCCUCCCUUGGAUGCUCAUGUGGUUGCUUCUGUUAUGACCGUCUGGAAUAAUGUACAGCCUCAUUAUGCUGCUAACAUGUGGAAUGAAGCCUUGAACAAGUGACUUGGAACUAAGGGCCUUGAUCUUCCUGAAAUUCUUGUAGAAGCUGAAAGGCGUGGGGUCAUCUUUUGAUGAAUUGUUGACAAUUCCCGAGCAAGACAAUUGGAUAUACAGUGAUGGAAAGUCUACAUCAUGUGUCGUUUUCAUUCUUGAAAUGUACAAGGAAGCAGGGUUGUUUGAUCCAAUUGCAAACUCCAUUCAAGUUACAAAGUUUAAGAUAAAAGAUGCUUACACACUCAAGUUCUUUGAAAACAAUUCAAGCCGCCUGCCAAAGUGGUGCAAUGAUGCGGACACUAUGAAGCUCCCUUUCUGCCAUAUGCGAGGGAAGUAUAGAAUGGAAUUACUUAUGGAAUUAUGGUGGGGUUAUAAAAUAAGGAAUUAUGAUAGAGAACUUAGAGACAAAGAAGAAAGCAAAAAGAUGGAGAGGAGUUGAAGGGAAUUUACAUGCUCUAUUAGGUUGACAUAAAGGCCAAUAUAUAGACUUACAAGGUUGUUCCACGUGUCCUGGAUAAGGUUGGAGUCGAUCAGGAGACAGCUGCAUUUGAUAGUGGGGUCCACUGUGCUUCCAUCCUGUUGAUGAGAUUGUGAUAUUCUUCAUCAGUCUCUGAUGGAGGGGAAUCCGGAUCUUGGCUGUAUUGCUCAUUCCGGAAAUGUUCUACAUCAUCUGCUGUCAUGGCUAGUUCCAACGGAAGAUCUAAAUUAUUUCUCUUUUUGAGAUUUAUUAACAUGUCAAGAGCCUCAUUAAUUUGUGUAGGAGACCUUUGAUAUGUUAUAGGAAAAUGAGUUACAAAUAAUAUUCUUCCAUCUGUAACCAUGAGUGGCAAUUUUGCUGAGCCAUGGAUGUUGGACGCUGCUUGUGAAACAGAUAUUAGACUGUCUAUCCAAUAUUCUGUUAAAGAAAGGUUUUGGAUA